rnacentral:rRNA from 1 species
AGCGAACGCUGGCGGUAUGCUUAACACAUGCAAGUCGAGCGCGAAAGUGACUUCGGUCAUAAGUAGAGCGGCGGACGGGUGAGUAACACGUGGAUAAUCUGCCUUUAGGACUGGGAUAACCCUGGGAAACUAGGGCUAAUACCGGAUAAGACCACAGGUUCCAUGGAACCAGGGGUAAAAGGCGGCCUUCGGGCUGUCGCCGAAAGAUGAGUCCGCGUCCCAUCAGGUAGUUGGUGAGGUAACGGCUCACCAAGCCGAAGACGGGUAGCCGACCUUAGCGGGUGAUCGGCCACACGGGGACUGAGACACGGCCCCGACUCCUACGGGAGGCAGCAGUGGGGAAUCUUGGGCAAUGGGCGCAAGCCUGACCCAGCAAUACCGCGUGAGGGAUGAAGGCC